UUCACAGGUUGAAACACUGGGUGGCGAGUGGCGAACGGGUGAGUAAUAAUAUCGGAACGUAUCCUGUAGAGGGGGAUAGCCCGGCGAAAGCCGGAUUAAUACCGCAUAUGCUCAAAAGAGGAAGGCGGGGGACCGGAUGGGUGACCAUUGGGCCUCGCGCUAGAGGGGCGGCCGAUGUCGGAUUAUGCUAGUUGGUGGGGUAAGGGCCUACCAAGGCGGUGAUCCGUAGCGGGUCUGAGAGGAUGAUCCGCCACACUGGGACUGAGACACGGCCCAGACUCCUACGGGAGGCAGCAGUGGGGAAUUUUGGACAAUGGGGGCAACCCUGAUCCAGCAAUGCCGCGUGUGUGAAGAAGGCCUUCGGGUGUAAAGCACUUUUGUCCGAAAAGAAAGGGCUCCCGUAAAUAAUCGGAGUGGAUGACAA
rnacentral:rRNA from 1 species